AGUUGUAUCCUGGCUCAGGAUGAACGCUAGCGGCAGGCUUAACACAUGCAAGUCGAGGGGUAACAGAGAUAGCUUGCUAUCUGCUGACGACCGGCGCACGGGUGCGUAACGCGUAUAGAACCUACCUUUUACAGAGGGAUAGCCCAGAGAAAUUUGGAUUAAUACCUCAUAGUAUUGUCAAAUGGCAUCAUUUGACACUUAAACAUUUAUGGGUAAAAGAUGGCUAUGCGUUCUAUUAGUUAGUUGGUAAGGUAACGGCUUACCAAGACAUCGAUAGAUAGGGGUCCUGAGAGGGAGACCCCCCACACUGGUACUGAGACACGGGCCAGACUCCUACGGGAGGCAGCAGUGAGGAAUAUUGGACAAUGGAGGCAACUCUGAUCCAGCCAUGCCGCGUGAAGGAUGACUGCCCUAUGGGUUGUAAACUUCUUUUAUAUAGGAAGAAACCGUUUCUUGCGAGAAACCUUGACGGUACUAUAUGAAUAAGCACCGGCUAACUCCGUGCCAGCAGCCGCGGUAAUACGGAGGGUGCAAGCGUUAUCCGGAAUCAUUGGGUUUAAAGGGUCCGUAGGCGGACUGAUAAGUCAGAGGUGAAAUCCCACAGCUCAACUGUGGAACUGCCUUUGAUACUGUCAGUCUUGAGUCAUUUGGAAGUAGAUAGAAUGUGUAGUGUAGCGGUGAAAUGCAUAGAUAUUACACAGAAUACCGAUUGCGAAGGCAGUCUACUACGAAUGUACUGACGCUGAUGGACGAAAGCGUGGGGAGCGAACAGGAUUAGAUACCCUGGUAGUCCACGCCGUAAACGAUGGACACUAGUUGUUGGGCAUAAGCUCAGUGACUAAGCGAAAGUGAUAAGUGUCCCACCUGGGGAGUACGGUCGCAAGAUUGAAACUCAAAGGAAUUGAC
rnacentral:rRNA from 1 species